AGGAAGCAGGACUGGUAAGUAUUACACGUGUCAGAGAAACGAGAGAGAGCUCUUGGUCUCGGUCGCGGUUGGAAACCUCGCCUGUGAGGGCCAGACGGUAAACAUUUCGGGUUCGUGCUCCAGCAGCAGCUCUCAAGCCCACACAACCCAGAGUCUGCUACUUGACCAUCCCACGGUGGGCUCUGAGGUUCCAGAAAACAUCAGCACCCUUUACAGUCACUUUCCGGAGAAAAGGCACUUAUUUUGAGAACAUACUUGUUGGAUGGAGACAACCUGUCUUGGGAGCAAGCCCAAAGAACUGCUGUUUUUCUGAACAGUUCUCAAUCUUUUUAAAAGGACUUUAAAAAUUACACAAUAAAUACUUGUUAUAGAAAAAACACAUAAUGAGAAGUAAAUAUAAAGAUAUAACGUGUGCGUCUCUGUGCGUGAAUAGAAUAUACACCUGUAAUGGGCUACGAGAGAUAAUUCAGGUUUUAGUACUAAAUUUACAUUCUAGUCCUGGCAGUAUGACCCAGCAAACCUUUAACAACUGUACUUUUUUCAAGGUCCUAGAGGGUAAUGAUGCUUCCCUGUGACUUACUGUGACUCACCACAGUGACUUUGGCUCCAGUGUGAAGGUAAAUAUUUACUGCCUACCUGGGUCUGGGCCACAGAUUGUUACGUAAUCAAAAAAAAAAAAGUGGUUUUUGUAAAAGUGACUCAAAUGGAAAUCAAAGUUGAGCAGGGGUGGGCGGCUCUUCAAAGCCUGGCAUUUCACUGCCCUACUUGCCCAGUGCUGUGUAAUGAUGGCAGGUUUCCUCAAGACAGGCUUUGGAAAUGAGACACCCUGGGCAGGAAAACAAAAGAUGUGUCCACUUGCCAGCGGCAGCCCACAACCAACCAGAAACACCUGGAGGGUGACACCCCCUGGACACCAAUCACACUGCCAGUGACCCUUGAAGAAGUGACACUUAAUUUAUCGGUCUUCCACUUUCUUCUCAGCAAACAAAGGCUAGUCUAUGGGUUUUAGCCACCUCACUUCUUCAUGGCGUCUGGGGAGGAUGGUGGUCUCAACAGACCAAUACAUCUGCCUACCUGUGCCCACCCCAUUCCCUCUGCCGCCCUGGUCUCUGUCACCGGCCCGUGAAAUGUCAAGAGUUCCAUGGGUUUCAGGCAAACUGUACUUGGAAAGGCUUGGCCCUGUAUACAAACCGUGGCGCAUACAUUGGGACACCUUGAGCAGGACGGGCACAUGACAGGAGCUCUAGGUCUGGUUACUCUGACAAGGGUGGAAGGAUAGGUUAGAGUUCUGGGACUUAAAGGGGAGGCAUGCUUCACGUAUGAAAGUCAAGAUGUGAAUCAAGGAGAGCCUGGAACUGGAGGUGCAGAGAGAGAGGAGGAAGGACCCAGGCGCUUUGGAGCUGUAGGUGGUAGGACAGCUGCUGGAGGAACAGGGAGGAGCGGUGCGCCUGGGAGGAUGGGAGGCCUGAAAGGACAGACGUACAGGUCGUCAGGAAAGAACCUUGGGCCUGUUCACAGGAGAGCGACAGGGACAGCGUGGGCUGUUUACAGAGGUGCGCUGGGGAAUGAUCCAGAGAAAUGAGUGCCAAGAAGAUGGUGGAUUUGCAGCAGCCCUGGAGCCAGAUACUUGGAAAGCGCCGUCCCCAACAUGUCUCCCACACUUGCAUCCUGUCUUCUAGAAUGAUUUGUCAACAACGCCUGCAAGUUGUACCCAGGAUCCAAAGUUUCUCACCCUCACCCAAGGACUGUCCGUCUCCCCAACGCCCACUGGGCCUUCUCGGUUCCCUCUGGUCUAGUCCUGGUCAAUCUCGGCUACAAACUCGACGACUUUCCCUGUUGGUGUCAGCUUUCGCCCCUCAUCUCCCUCCAGCCACCCCUGGAACGAACCCCACUGAUGCCUGCCCACGCUGGGGCCUUUGCAGUCACUACGGCCUCCCCCACUUGGCUCGUGCGCCUUCUCAGAAGCCUCCCUGAGCUGCCGACCUGAAGCAGCACCCACCAGCCCCUCAGUCCCAUCACAUCACCCUGAUUUACUCUCUUUAUGGCACAUGUUCUCCAGAUCACUGCUCGUCUUGUUUGCCACAGAAUGUGAAGAGGUGGAAGGGAACGUGGAAACCAUCUACGGAGCUGCAUCUGAGCUGUAAAAGGAAGUAAUGACAGCAACCUGCUCCGGAGGAUCGUUGUGAUGGCUGCAUGAGUUAAUGCACACGGACAGUCCUGCCCAUUUGAUCCUCAUACUCCUACCAAAAAUGGUAACAAGAGACAAAGAAAGCCAUUAUUUAAAGAUAAAGGGGUCGAUUCAUCAAGAAGAUAUAACAAUUAUAAAUAUAUGCACCCAACAUCGGAGCAUAUAAAUACAUUAAGCAAAUACUAAUAGAUCUGAAUAAGGAAACAGACAACAAUACAAUAAUAGCAGAGAACUUCAAUACCCCAAUUUCAUCAACAGAUAGAUCGUGAAGACAGAAAACCAACAAGGAAACAUUGGACUUGAACCACACUUUAGGCCAGAUGAACGUAACAGCCAUAUAUAGUACAUUCCACCCAACAGCAGGAGAAAACACAUUCUUCUCAAGUGCACAUGGAACUUUUUUUAGGAUAGAUUGUAUGUUAGGUCACAAAACAAGUCUUAGCAAAUUUAAAAAGACUGAAAUAAUACCAAGUGCCUUUUCUGAUCAUACUGGUAUGAAAUUAGAAAUCAACAAGAGGAAAGCUGGAAAACUUAUAAAUAUGUGGAAAUUAAACAACAUACUCCUGAAUAACCAAUUAGUCAAAGAAGAAAUCAAAAGAAAAAUAAAAAAUCUCCAAACAGAUGAAAUGAAAACACAACAUAUCAAAACCUAUAGGAUGCUACGAAAGCAGUUUUAAGAGGAAAAUUUAUAGCAAUAAAAUACCUAUAUUAAAAAAAAAAAAAAGAUUUCAAAUAAGCAACUAGCUCUAGACUUCAAAGAACAAAUUAA